CGCCGCGUGAGUGAAGAAGGUUUUCGGAUCGUAAAGCUCUGUUGUUAAGGAAGAACGAGUGUGAGAAUGGAAAGUUCAUACUGUGACGGUACUUAACCAGAAAGGGACGGCUAACUACGUGCCAGCAGCCGCGGUAAUACGUAGGUCCCGAGCGUUGUCCGGAUUUAUUGGGCGUAAAGCGAGCGCAGGCGGUUAGAAAAGUCUGAAGUGAAAGGCAGUGGCUCAACCAUUGUAGGCUUUGGAAACUGUUUAACUUGAGUGCAGAAGGGGAGAGUGGAAUUCCAUGUGUAGCGGUGAAAUGCGUAGAUAUAUGGAGGAACACCGGUGGCGAAAGCGGCUCUCUGGUCUGUAACUGACGCUGAGGCUCGAAAGCGUGGGGAGCGAACAGGAUUAGAUACCCUGGUAGUCCACGCC
rnacentral:rRNA from 1 species